AGGAUGUAUAUGGUUGUAUAGUUUGGUAACUUACAUACCACUUGAUAUUUUGAAGUUCUGCAUUCGUUAUGGAUUGAGUGGAAGAGCUUGGGAUAACCUCUUCCAAAGAAGGCUUGCUUUCUCGACUAGAAGAGACUAUGGUAGAGCAGAGAGAGAGGCACAAUGGGUACAGGAAGAAAGAGCAAAACGCGGACUUCAAACUACCACAACUGCUAUGAACACCCUCUUGGACGACACUACCGGAUAUAGACUUUUAUCCGAGAUCGCCGACCAAGCUAAGAAACGUGCAGAGAUUGCGAGAAUGAUAGAGUUACACACACUUAAAGGACAUGUUGAGUCAGUAGUUAGGCUCAAGGGAUUGGAUAUUGAAAACAUGCAACAACAUUAUACACUAUAAUUAAAUAGAAGGUCAAUUAAAUUAUUCUUUGACAAAUUCAUAGGGAGGGAGUUUUUUUUUUCAAGCAAGAAGGAGUUUAUUUAUUAUAUAGAGUAAUUGAGCAAGUGUCAAAGUGAGUUAGUGAGUAUAUGUUAUUAUUUAUUUAUUUAUUAUAUUGUUGUUUUUAAGAAUUAAAUUUGAAUAUUGUUGUUUUUAAUGGAGUCUAUUUAUUGUAGGCAGAGUUAAUCAAGAAAAAUACAAUCAUUUUCAUUUCACUUACAAUUUAUCAAAUAUAAAUUUUUUUUUUAUAACUUCAAUAUCUUCCUCAUUCAAUCAUACUCAAUUGUGAUGUUUAUGAAUUAUGGCCAUGUGACUAUUAAUUUUAAAGGCCAUGAAACAUAGGUAAAUAAAAAUUAAAGUGUAUACACAGAGACUCGAAUCUUAAAACUUCAGCAGUUUUUUUUAAAAGCAAACCUUCAACAGUUCAGCUACCUUAAAAAUGACAGUUAUCAAUUGGGUUAAUCGAGUUGUGUAUGUGAGGUUAAUUACAUUCAAAUUAUAAAUUAUGUAUUUUUUUUAAUAUUUAGUCCCUUAACUAGUUAAAAAAACUCAUCACUUAAUCGAAAGAGGGUUAUUACUUAUUAUGCAAUUUUUUUUAUUUUUAAUCUAUUUUAUAACUGUAAACUGUAAAAACAAAUAACUACCUUAAAUCUCGAUUUCUUCGUUUCUCUUCAUUGUUUCUUUUCUGUCCACCAAUUUCUUAUGUACCGUCGAUUUCUCUCAUGUCGAUUUUUCCUCCAAGGUUUAUCUCUCGCUACGUCAGUCUCUGCCUCCGUCAAUUUCUCUGACUAGUUGUGAUGAGGAUGGAUUCCCCAUCAGUGUCUAACUGGUCGACCCUGGACUGGUCGAUUCCAGUUCAUUCGAUCGUUCAAAUAUUUCAUGUAGGAGCCUUACCAAUUGAAUGGACCAGGGGCUCUGGAUCUUCAGAGCCACGCUCCACUCCUUGCUCAGGAAGUAGUUGAUCGAUGUUUAAGUGUCUCCCAAUGAUGAAUCCAUUCCUCUAUAUAUUUAUAGAUUUCUAGGAAGGAAAAUGUAUCAUUACACUGAGCCAGGUGUAGUCGAUCCGAAGGUCGAUCGAUUUCCCUGAGGUGGUUCGACCACACCUCUUUUCGGUCCAUAAUGAUUGGUUGGGCAUUUGGUUUGGGUCUAACCUAAGCAUAAUGCCUACUUAUGAUGUUUGAUCUUCCUUGAGCUUCUGGGAUCUCAACCUAUUUACGUACGGGUGCAUUUCUGAGGGCCAAUUCUCAGGACACACUCUUUCUAGGGAUCCUGGUAUCACCAGUAUUCCCCCUCGACGGGAGCAUUCGAUGUUGAAUUAAUGCCACGGGAUCCUAGCCAUAACUUGGUUGUUGUAGAUUAUGCACUAUCAGGUAUCACCAAUUCUCCCCGCCCCCUUCAGCCGAGGCAAUUGAGAGUGAUUCCGGAUCCGCUGGAUACUCCAUUGAACGACAUGUUUGAAGAAAGCGACGAUGAUUCGGAAAGGCUCGAGGUCGGUGUUUGUAAAAUAUGUUCCAAUUUAAAUGAGAAAUAUCAAUCGGAGGUCAAUGAACAUGUUGAAGAAAUAAUUUAUAAACAUGUGACGGGAUAGUCAAAGAGCUUCAUGAAGCCGAAUCCUAAGUAUGUGUUGUCAAUCAUUGUUGUCGAUAUUGCAUCACCCACAUCGAAAAAGGCAAAACUAUAUGAUGAGAAAUAGAGACAGGCGAUGCAGGUGGUGUUUAAGGCACUGCAGUGCAAUGACACUUGGGAACUAAUUCCUAGAGGUACGGAUGAUUAUCUUAUCUCAAAUUUAUGAUUGUUUAAACAGAUAGAAAGUUCAUGGAUUAGUGGAGAAGUUGAAGGAAAAACUGGUAGCUAAUGGGAUGAAACAAAUCAAAGGUCUUGACUAUCACGAAACAUUCAGCCUGGUGGUGAAAUCGAUGUCCACACGGUUGGUGUUAACUAUUGCGAUAUCGAAGGGCUGGAAUUAGUAACAAAUCGAUAUAGGCAAUACGUUUCUACAUGGGGCAUUGUCAGAAAGAAUACUAAUGUCGCAGUUGUAUGAAUUUUGGGAUUAAGAGCAUCCUAUUUAUGUAUGCAGGUUGAAGAAGAUAAUUUACGGACUUAAGCAGUCUUUGAGCAUAUGUUUCCGAAUUCUUAAAGAGUUUGUCAUUUCAGUGUGAUUCGUGGCAAGUCUUGCAGAUCCGUUGUUUUUCAUUUAUAAAUGGGAUUGCAUGGUGUUUCUCCUUGUGUAUGUAGAUGAUAUGAUUAUGGCAUGUUCGGAUUAAAAAAAAAGGAGUUGAUUAAUGGUAUGGGCAUGAAUGAUUCGUUUGAUUUAAGUGUAUAUAAUGAUGCCAAUUGGGGUGGUGACACGGUUAAUCGAAACAUUUGGUAUGUACAUGUAAUCUAGUUAUACAGUAUUUAGAUACGAUGAUUUCAUUUAAUUAGAUAUUUUAUGAAAAAAGACCUUAAAGUUAUUAAAUGAUACACAAGUCCUUUUAAAAUCAAUUUAUAUGACUACCUCGAUAACUGAAAACAUUGGGUGUAUUGAAUUGAAUUACGACAACACACGUGGUUAUUUAUUUUUAAAGGAGACCAAAGUAGAAGGAAGGCAUUUUUAGACAAACUAAUUGAAGUUUGUGGUGUACAGAGAUGGGAAAUUGGCAUCCAAACAGAAAUGGGAAAUUGAGAUGAACGAAAAAGUAGUAUAAAAGAAACUUGUCGUCGACAGAUGAAUUCAUCAAAACAUAAUUAGAACAACACCCAAUUCAAAAGACGAUCCUCCUCGUCGUUACUACGUACCCUCUUGAAACUAUCAAGAAAGAGGGUGAGUCAUCCAGACUCAUCUCUUUCUACUCGAUCAAUCUAUCAUUCAAAUCAAUUGAGAUCGAGUUCGGAGUUAUGGGGGAUAGUGAUGGAUGCCUUGAUGAUGUCAAGAACGAAAACAUUGACCUGGUAUGGCAUAAGAUCGAUUAAAAUCUCUUGAGUCUUGAUAUAUAUAUAUAUAUAAUUUUUUGAGGAAAUUAAGAUUAAAAUCAUUUAUAUUUUUUGUUUUUCAGGAAACCAUUCCUCUCCAAAAGGUUUUCGAUAAGCUAAAAUGCACCAGUGGAGGCCUCUCAGACGAGGAGGGGGCAAAGCGUUUGCUAAUCUUUGGUCGUAAUAAGCUUGAGGAGAAACAUGAAAGCAAACUCCUAAAGUUUCUAGGGUUCAUGUGGAAUCCUCUAUCUUGGGUAAUGGAGAUUGCUGCCAUCAUGGCUAUUGUCCUAGCUAACGGAGGAGGACAACCUCCUGACUGGCAAGACUUUGUUGGAAUCGUUGUUCUUUUAUUAAUCAAUUCCGUUAUUAGUUUCCUUGAGGAGAAUAAUGCUGGCAAUGCUGCCGCGGCUCUUAUGGCUGGACUUGCACCUCGAAGCAAGGUACGGUCAAUAAUCAAUAUAUAUGUCUUAUAAAUUUAUUAAUGCAUUCUGAUUUACGUACAAUUAUAUUGAUGACUAAAUAAAUAAUGAAUUCAUUUUUAGAUUUUGAGACAAGGCAAGUGGGUGGACGAAGAAGCGGAAAUACUUGUUCCCGGGGACAUUAUCAGCAUCAAACUUGGAGAUAUUGUCCCUGCCGAUUGUCGUCUUCUUGAAGGUGACCCAUUAAAAAUUGAUCAAUCAGCACUGACAGGUGAAUCUCUUCCUGUGACAAAGUAUCCUGGAGAAGGAGUAUACUCAGGAUCCACUUGUAAGCAAGGAGAAAUUGAUGCGGUAGUUAUCGCUACCGGUGUUCGUACCUUCUUUGGUAAAGCUGCACAUCUUGUUGAUAGCACGAAUAAUAUAGGUCACUUCCAGAUGGUCCUGACAUCCAUUGGAAACUUCUGUAUUUUUACAAUCGCAUUGGGAAUGGUUGUGGAGAUAAUAGUGAUGUAUCCAAUCCAAAAUAGAAAAUAUAGAGAUGGAAUUGAUAACUUGUUGGUUCUCCUUAUCGGAGGAAUUCCCAUUGCCAUGCCUACGGUGUUGUCUGUGACAAUGGCCAUCGGUUCUCAUAGGUUAUCGGAACAAGGAGCAAUCACAAAGAGAAUGACGGCAAUCGAAGAGAUGGCUGGAAUGGAUGUUCUUUGUAGUGAUAAGACUGGCACAUUGACUUUAAACAAACUCAGCGUCGAUAAGAAUUUGAUCGAGGUAUUUGAUGACCAUCAUUUUAAUAAAGAUUUAGUUAUUUUAAUGGCCGCAAGAGCUUCAAGAGUUGAAAACCAAGAUGCCAUUGAUGCCUCGAUAGUUGGAAUGCUAGGUGAUCCGAAAGAAGCAAGAGAAGGCAUCAAAGAGGUCCACUUCUUACCCUUCAACCCAGUCGAAAAGAGAACUGCUAUCACCUACGUAGACAACAAAAAUGGUGAAUGGUACAGGUCUAGUAAAGGUGCUCCUGAACAAAUCAUUGAACUUUGCAAAAUGUCUACCGGUGAUGCUAAUAAAAUCCACGAUUCUAUUGAAAAGUUUGCCAAUCGUGGCCUUCGCUCACUCGGUGUUGCCACACAAACCGUGCCAGAGAAAAAGAAGGAGAGUGCCGGAACAACAUGGAAGUUCAUAGCUCUGUUGCCACUUUUUGACCCACCAAGACAUGAUAGUGCCGAGACAAUUCGUCGAGCUCUUAACCUUGGAGUGAAUGUUAAGAUGAUCACUGGAGACCAACUUGCAAUUGGAAAAGAAACUGGGCGUCGGUUGGGGAUGGGAACAAACAUGUAUCCUUCUUCGGCCCUCCUGAAUGAUGGCAGAGAAAAAGAUCCUUCCAUAGUCACCAUUCCUGUGGAGGAACUGAUUGAGAAAGCAGAUGGAUUUGCUGGAGUAUUCCCAGAGCACAAGUACAACAUUGUUAAGAAACUUCAAGAGAUGAAACAUAUAUGUGGUAUGACCGGAGAUGGUGUUAAUGAUGCUCCAGCUUUGAAAGCCGCUGAUAUUGGAAUAGCAGUUGCCGACGCAACAGAUGCAGCUCGAAGUGCAUCAGACAUAGUUCUUACAGAACCAGGAUUGAGUGUGAUCGUGAGUGCAGUUUUGACUAGUCGAGCCAUAUUCCAAAGGAUGAAGAACUACACCAUCUAUGCAGUGUCACUCACUGCCCGGAUCGUCUUUGGUUUCUUACUCAUCGCUCUCAUAUGGCGUUUCGACUUCUCCCCAUUUAUGGUCCUCAUCAUUGCAGUUCUCAACGAUGGAACCAUCAUGACCAUCGCCAAGGACCGAGUAAAGCCAUCUCCAUUACCGGACUCAUGGAAACUAAAGGAGAUCUUCGCAACAGGUGUAGUUUUAGGAAGUUAUCUCGCAAUAAUGACUGUGAUUUUUUUCUGGAUGGUGCAUGUUACAGAUUUUUUCACGGUAAGCUACGACCAAUCCUCGGUUGAAUCUAUUUUUACUUUGUUGGCAAAUUUCAUUAUUUAAUUAAUAUAUAGGAGAUAUUUGGGGUUCAUUCAAUUAGAAACAACAAAGGACAACUCAUGUCUGCUUUGUACCUACAAGUUAGCAUCGUCAGCCAAGCUUUAAUCUUCGUGACCAGAUCUCGAAGUUGGUCUUUUGUUGAAAGACCUGGCUUAUUCCUAGUGUCUGCCUUCUUCGCAGCACAAUUUGUGAGACUCCAUUUUUUAUCUAUUUCGUAAUUAAUGUAAUUUUGAUUGGUGCUUAUAUAAUUUUUAAAUUAUAAAUGUAGAUUGCCACCGUUAUUGCUGUAUAUGCCAAUUGGCAAUUCGCAAAGAUUGAAGGAAUUGGAUGGAAAUGGGCCGGAAGUAUAUGGUUGUAUAGUUUGGUAACUUACAUACCACUCGAUAUUUUGAAGUUCUUAAUUCGUUAUGGAUUGAGUGGAAGAGCUUGGGAUAACCUCUUCCAAAGAAGGCUUGCUUUCUCGACUAGGAGAGACUAUGGUAGGGUGGAGAGAGAGGCACAGUGGGCACAGGAAGAAAGAGCAAAACACGGACUCCAAACUACCACAACUGAGAUAAACACCCUCUUGGACGAAAACACCACCGGAUAUAGAGUUUUAUCCGAGAUCGCCGAACAAGCUAAGAAACGUGCAGAGAUUGCCAGAAUGACUGAGUUACGCACACUUAAAGGACAUGUUGAGUCAGUAGUCAAACUCAAGGGAUUGGAAAUGGAAAAUAUCCAACAACACUACACACUAUAAUUAAAUAAUAGGUCAACCAAUUAAAUAAGUCUUAAUUAAUAUUUUGAUGAUUAAAUUCAUAGGAAGGGAGUUUAUUUACUAUUUCCUAUCAUAGUGUCUAAAUGGUGAGAUCGAUGAUAUUUAUGUAUUAUCUAAGGAUUGAGAUUUACUACUGUAGUUUUCAUGUUCGAAGACUAUUAUUUAUUAUUGCAGUAGCUAGAGUCAUUCUGUAAUCUUGAAGACACGAUCGACUAUUUGUAUUUCAUCUACAAUAUAUCAAAUACAAUUUCUUCUUCCUAAAAUUUCAUUAUCUUUAUGAUCCAAACUUAAUUAUGUUAUUACUUUUGAUUCUUGUAUAAUUGAUUUUGAAUCAUGAUUCGCGAAUAUCUUUUUUUUCAACUGUUUGGUUUACAAUACUUAAAAGUUAUAACUAGAUUAUAUUAUGAUCAAACUCAUAAUAUAAUUUAGCCCAUGUUCUUUGGAAGAAACGGUAGAAACAAUAUUUUCAAUGAUAUAUUUUGUUGUUAAUAAAUUUUAAUUAUAGUAAACUCUAAUUAACAAUAUAUAGAUCACUUAUAUGAGUUAAAUUUAUUUAUAAAUAUAUUUAAACUCAUAUGAAUAUAUGAUAUGAAAUUGACUUUCACAAAGUCGGCGAUCGUGGAGUCGGGGUGUGAGCCGGAGGAUCACUAGGGUUUUGGAUGGAGAGUCGAGAGGGAGAGACGGUUGGGAGAGAAACCCAAGGGUUUUGUAUUGUAUUUCAAAAGAUAUCAAUAAAAAUAUUACAAGUGUCUAUAUAUACUAAAAGACUAAACCUAAUUUAACUUAAUGGGCCAACAUCAGUUGAGCCUGACCUAGCUUAGAUUUAAACAUACAUAACUUAAACUUAAACUUAAACUACAUUAAUCUCAAUAAACUUUAUAUAUAAUUAAAUGAAAAUGAGAUUAACUUAUUUAUUAUCAUUAAACAAAUCUCUACAUUAAUCAAAUUAAUUAUUGCAGCUUGUACUUAUUAUUUUCUCAUCAACUAGUUUGACUUAACCUUUGCUUUGUCAAGUCAUAUUAUUUCUUAAAGGUUAAUCAACAUGGUAUAAGAGAGGCUUGCUUAUCAAUGCAAGUUUCAAAGAAACCUCCAUGAUGAAAAACUUAUAUGUAGCAUUUUUUACAGAUAUCCAACAAGAUCUUGGAAAUAAAUGCAAUUACUAAAUUUUCUACACCAAGAUCUUGAGAAUCAAUGCAAGGAUUUUACAAGCUCAACUACAAGAGAAGAGAUUCCUUUUGAAGAAUUUAUUGUGUAAGGAAUCUCUCUUCUACCAAUACUUGUGGAAGUUGAAAAAAAUUACCUCCGUAUGCCACCUACGUUUUUUAUAUAAGGAGGGGCACACCAAGGUCACAAAGCAUGCAUCAUUUACCAAUCGUUGUUGAAGCUCUCUUUGUGUCAAAUCUCAUGCUCUUUCUCAAACUCUUGCUUUUCAUCGAUCAAGCGCACUAAGCUUUGUUAGAAUUGUUCUCAAGGUUGUGUGCUUAAGUUCUUCACUUCUUCUUUCCCUCUCAUACAUGUUAAGAGUCUAUUAGAAGAUAAAGCUUCAUAUCUUGUAAGUGUUCCAAGUGGUUUGUCUCAAGAUCAACACUUGUAAGGUUACACGAGUUCAAUCAUAAAACUCGGUUUGAUUUUAUAGUGUUUUCGGGAAAACUUUUAAGUUGAAUCUACCUCGAAGAUUCAAAGGUUCUUAAAAGUGCCCUUGAAUACUCAAAUGUAUGAGUAUACUCGUAAAAGACUUGGUUCAUAAGCAAGGUAGGCUUAAAGUUUACAAAGGUUUUCAAGAGUGUUCUUAAAUACUCUAAGGUGUGAGUCUACCCGAAAAAGACUUGAUUCAUAAACGAAGUAGCACUAAAACUUACAGAGGUUCUUAAGAGUGUCCUUAAAUACUUUAAUGUUUAAGUCUACUCAUAAUAGACUUGGUCCGUAAGCAUUGUAGCCAUAAAUCUUACAUAAGGUUUUACCAUUACCUUUAGGCUAGUGAUCUUCGUGUGUCAUCGGAACUGGAUUAGCCCUUGUUUAGGUGAACCAAUAUAAAUAUUUUGUAUUCUUUUUAUUUUCGAAUUUUAUAGAAUAAAUAACUUAAUAAGAUUAAAAGAACAAAGAGAUCUCUUAUCUAGUUAUCUGGUCAAAGAUUGAGGUUGAUUACUUUUUUGCAAAUCAUUCAUCCAGUUAUCUAGUCAUUGCCUGAAACUUUCAGUUAAAAUCGUUAUCUAGUUAUAUGGUCAUUUAUAUUAAUAUAUUUUAACUUAUAAUAUAACUUGUGUACAUAUAAGAUAAAUUAAUAUUCAUAUACUACAACUUGUUUAAAAAACACUAUCUGAUAACUUGACUAAGUAUUCCUAUACUGUAGUAAACUUUGAAAGUACAGACAAUCAUUUUAUAAAUCUUCGUUAAUUCAUAGCUUGUAAUUAAUUUCAGGUAUUGCAAAAAUCAACUGAGAUAUCACGAAAAAAGGCUAUAACCCCGUCCCUCUAACAUCUGAUCCCGAUCCUACAGAAACUUGAUGGUCUAAAUAAAUAAAAACAGUAGUUAACAAAGCAUUUAUGAUUAGAAAUUAAGUCUGUGAAUUUAAAGUAUCGAGAAAGCUCUUAUGUAUCUAACAAUUUAAAUAAGAUUCAGAACAUUGUCAAUUAACUUUCUAACCCUAUUCUCAAGCUACACUCUUCGUGGGGAUCUUGGUAUCACCAGUACUCCCCCUCGAGAGGGCAUGCGAUGUUGAAUUAAUGUCACGAAUAUUCCUAGCCAUAACCUGGUUGUUGUAGUCCAGACGUACGCUAUCAGGUAUCACCAAUUCUCCCCCUACAGCCGAGCCAGUUGAGGGUGGAUCCGCUGGAUACUCCAUUGACCGACAUAUUUGAAGAAAGCGACGAUGAUUCAGAAAGGCUCGAGGUCGAUGUUCCUAAAAUAUGUUUCAAUUUAGAUAAGAAAUAUCAAUCGGAUGUCCAUGAAUACGUUGAUUAAAUAAUUCAUAAACAUGUGACGAGAUAGUCGAAGAGCAUCAAAAAAUCGAAUCCUAAAUAUGUGUUGUCAAUGAUUGUUGUCGAUAUUGCAUGUCAUCCACAUCGAAAAGGGCAAAACUAUAGAAGCAUGUGAUGCAGGUGGUGUUUAAUGCACUGCAAUGCAAUGACACUUGGGAACUAGUUCCUAGAACUGCAGAUGGUUAUCGUAUCUCAAAUUUAUGGUUGUUUAAAAUAGAUAGAAAGUUCAUGGGUCAGUGGAGAAGUUGAAGGAAAAUCUGGUAGCUAAUGGGACGGAACAAAUAGAAGGUCUUGACUAUCACGAAACCUUCAGUUCGGUGGUGAAAUCGAUGUCCAUGUGGUUGGUGUUAACUAUUGUGAUAUCGAAGAGCUGGAAUUAACGUGACAAAUCGAUAUAGGGAAUGCGUUUCUAGAUAGGGCAUUGUCGGAAAGAAUACUAUUAUUACAGUCUCAUGCAUUUGUGGAUUCAGAGCAUCCUAAUUAUGUAUGCAGGUUGAAGAAGGCCAUUUAUGGAUUUAAGCAGUCUCUGGGUAUGUGUUUCUGAAGGCUAAAAGAGUUUGUCAUAUCGGUGUGAUUCGUGAAAAAUCUUGCAAAUCCGUUAUUUUCAUUUAUAAAAGGUAUUGCAGGUGUUUCUCCUUGUGUAUGUAGAUGAUACGAUUAUGGCAUGUUUGGAUCAAAAAAAGUAGGAGUUGAUUAUUCCUAUAAGCAUAAAAUUUACAAUUGGAAAGCCUGAUAAUUAAACUUGAUUUCUUAAAUUCUUGGAUUUUUUUUUGAAUAAGUUGCUUUAUAUAUUAAGAGAAAAAAAUUAAGGUUUACAGAUGUUCAAACACACAAUAACAUCUGAUUUAAAUAUAGUCAUAUUUACUUUCUACUUACUUUCUAUCUAAGGAGACGGGUUUGCCCGACAAUUAAUCAAUCUUAACUUCCUUCUUCCACCUUGUUGUGGAUCAGCAACUGAAAAACAUCACAUUGGUGCAAUGCCCUCUCUUCCGCGUUCCUCUUGUGUGGCUUUUUAAAUUUGUCUUCCUUGAAACCGAUUUCCGUCGAUCUGAUGCAUUCCCUUAUGAUCAUUUCCUGCGAGGUUGAGAUUUCUUCAUGCGGUGAUGUUGGUUUCGCUCCUUCCAUAUGUGAAACAGUAUGAAACCAAGCACUGUCCAAUGCAAUCCCCAACACUUUGAUCCAGGAGUGAUUUUCUCAAUUUCAUGAGCUAUGGCUUCAAAAUCCCUAAUGUCUUGUGUAUUCAUCAAUCCAUCUGAUGCAUCAAAGCCCUCCUUUAGAAUCCACCUCGCGAACCUUCAUUUGAAAAAAACAUGCGAUAUUGUCUCAGGUUUUUUACCACAUAAUACACAAUCAUCUGCCACAUUCAUUCCUCUACGUCCCAGUCUAUCCCUUGUUGAUAUGCUGACCCUCCGUAUUCUUCACAUGUUCAAGGAGAUUUUGUGUACACCUGAUGACCAUAUACCUAUCACUAGAUCAUCCUUUGGGUUUGUCUCUCUUAGUGUAUCUACUGCAUUUGCUAAUGAUGGUCGACUACUAUUCCCUUUCCACUGAAUUGUUCGGUUUGAUGUAUAAUCCACGCAUUUGUUUAUGUUUUCACGUUAUCGCAAGACCUCCCUCCUCGUGGCCGAAUCAUUAUAGCGUCUUGAGAUAUUAUUCAAGGCUUCUCCUUUGAUGUACCUUUUGUUCAUCCAAUCCCCCCAUAUGCCCUCGUUCAUCCACAACCUGCAUAGUUUGUCCACUGUUGCGGCCACUUGAGUAGUUUUAAAGUCCUUUACCCCCAUACCACCUUCGGGUCGAGGUUUAAUCAUCAUUGACCAAGCGACUUCCUUCUAUGUCCCCCAUAUGAACUCGUAGGCUAGGGACUUUAUAUUUGGAUUGUAACCUGCGAAACUGUAUUAGUUUGCAUCAAAUAUCCAAAUUUUCCUUGGAAGACCCAAUCCAAUAAUUGUACUCUUCCCAUGUACGAUAGUUUCUUUUUGCUCCAUCUUGUUAAAAUGUCAUUUAGAUCCGCUAUCAAAGGAUCACAAUUCCUGUUUGAGAUGGACUUUCCGGUGAAUGGUACUUUCAGGUAUUUUAGCGGUAGCUAUUUUUGUUGAAAUUCUAGUUAGCGGUAGCUGUUAAAUUCUUGGAAUUCAAGUUAGACAUUCAGGAUUGUUUCUUGAUCAGAUAAAAUAUUUAGGCAAUUUAUUGAAAAUAGUGGAUGUUGAUAACCUGCGAUCUAUGUCAACUCCCAUGGCGACCGAUAUUGUUCUUUAUUAAUAAAAUGAGCAAUUAAUUAUGGUAAAAAAUAUAGGUAGGUGAUAAGAACAUUGCAAUAAAUCACACAAAAAAUCAGUUUUUAUAUCUCUUGUAAUUUUUCGUUUGAUUUAAGUGCAUAUAAUGAUGUCGAUUAGGGUCGUGACACGGUUAAUCGAAAGAGUCAGUCGGGGUACUUGGUAUCAAUGGCGGAUCUAGGAAUUCCUGUCAUCACGGGCACCUUUGGGGACGACAAGAGUCCUUAAUUUUUUUUGGCAUUUUCUUUGAAUUUUUGACAUAAUAUCUCCCUAAUAAUGAUAAAAAAUGUAACAUUAUCGGUCGGCUCGGAUACCUAGGUAUCCGAAUCUGACCGAAUAAAAUCCGGAUAGAAAAAUCCGAAUCCGGAUAAAUUUUCGGAUAUCCAGAUAAUCCGAAUAACUUUUUAUAAAAAUCUUAAAAUAAAAUUAUAAAAAUAUAAAAUCACCCUUAAUAAAGUUAAUUAAUAGUCAAUUAAUCAUCCUAAAAUCCAGGUAUCCGAAUCCGAAAUUCUUAAACGAAUUCGGAUUUUAAUGGCAGAUUUUUCGGAUAUCCGAAUCCGUCCGAAUAAAAUUCGGAUAUCAAUUUAGGUAUCCGAAUCUGUAUCCGGAAUCCAGAAAUCCGAAUCCGGAUAGUCAUAUUCAAAUUCAAAUACGGAUACAAAUACGGUAUACCAUUAAGAUUGAUUGUCAUUUUAUAAGAGACUUAAUCACCCAAGGAGUGUUUAAUCUCAUGCAAAUUGGAACAAAGUACUAAUUAGCAGAUAUGUUUACCAAACCCCUGGGUGAGCAUGAGAUGAGCAUGAGAUUACUUCAGCCUCCGACAAGCUUGGAAUAAUUAACAUAUAUUCCAGAGCUUGAGGGGGGAGUAAAAAAGUAAUUAGAACGGUUGUAAUCUAUACAACAAAUACUGUAAUCUGCAAUUAUCUGAAUAUGGACUUAUGUGUAAUAUGAGGAUUAUAAUAUAUUUGCAGGCAAUUAGACCUUGAGAGAAUAAGUUAAAUAUAUAUAUGGAGAGCCUCGGGCGCCAAAGUGCAAUCUUCACAAUUAAAAAAAAGCACGAUUGGGCCCAUUACUGGAAAGAAGUUCAGCAAGGAAUUAAUGCAAUAACGGGCGGCUCAAUAGUAGAAUAAAUAAGCUUUAGUUUUAGUUGUUGAUUAACGGAUAAAACUGUUGUAAUAACUAGUUUAAAUACAAAUUGUAAUUACAACCAUUUUAAUACAACUUAAUGCACUAAUCAUGGUUUUUCUCUAACUACCGUUUCAGUUUGGUUUAGACGAGAAAACCUAAUUUCCUCCCUCUUCUUUACACAGCGAUUCUCCGACAGAGCGAUUCGGCGAAGUCGACUCCGGCCACUCCAUUGACGCAUACCUAUCACCAUUUUAACAUGGUAUCAGCUGGAAAAUCCAAUCACGCUUCCGCAUCAAAGGCCGCCCAAUCAAAGUCGAUUUCUUCCAGCGAUGAGCAAUCAGAUUCCGGCUCGCGGCUCUAGCUCCACAACGACGAUCCCAUCGGCUGCAAAAGCAAUCCUUCGAUCUCUACCUCGCCGUAGUCCGUCAAUUCCACCUAAACACCGACGGAAAUCAUCCCAUCAUAGAUCACACCAUUCAAGAAGGUCAAGGAGACCUCACCAUACAUCGGCGCUCAAUGACAAGGAUUCAAUUUUUUAUUUGAAUUAUGGCGACCAUCCUAGAGCCCUAAUAGUUUCAGAUAAACUGGUAGGCGAAUCUAAUUAUACAACAUGGACUAAUGCUAUUAUGAAAUUGUCUCUUAUCUCUAGGCGAAAAAUUUCCUUCAUCAAUGGGAAGGUUAAGAAGCCAGAGAGUGUUGAUGACAGAGAUUAUAAAGCAUGGGAGACUGUAAAUGGAUUGGUGUUGUCAUGGAUAGUUAAUGGGGCAUCUCCACAGAUUGCUUCUACUCUGAUGCAUACAGAACAGACUUGCAAGAGAGGUAUAAGCAAAAAAAUGCCCCCAAAUACAAUCGGAUAAAUUAUGAAUUAAAUAACCUACAUCAAGACAGUAAGAAUGUGAUUGAUUACUAUGAUAGUUUUAAGGCUUUAUGGAACGAAAAGGUAGAAUUAAAUGAUUGUGAUUUCUGCGAUAAGUGUACUCCAAAAUUCAAUGAAAAAUUGAAGAAAGAUAAAAUUCAUCAGUUCCUUUUGAGACUGAAUGAAGAUUUUAAAACCUUGAGAGGGCAGAUCCUGUCAUAUGAUGAAUUGCCUAGCAUGAAUAGGGUAUUUUAUCUGAUUACUCAUGCUCAGGAAGAAAAACAGAAAAUAGAUUUUAGGAAAAAGAGUCUAAAAAUAGACUCAUAUGCAUUUUUUACUAAGAAGGUGAAUGAGAGAGAAAGAAGAAAAAGGAAUGUAUAGUAGAAGUGGAAAAAAAAUUAGACACUUCCAAGUACUGCGACAAUUGGAAAUUUUAUGGACAUACUAGUAAGGAACGUUUUCACUUAGUAGGAUUUUCAGAAAAGAAAAAAGACAAUGGGAAGAAGGAAAACAAAAAUAAAAAGGCAAAAUAUGAAAGUGCAAAUCAGACCACUACUACUAUCCUUCCAACCUUGACCAGUGAGGAACUUUUUAUGCUAAAAGACUAUAAAUAAGUCCAAUGGUAUGAAAUAUUUUUUAAUGCAUUAAAUUUUAGAAAUAAUUAUCAUGCUUAUAAUGCAGUUAAUUUUAAUAAAGAAUGAAUUAUAGACACUGAGGCUUCCCAACACAUGACUGGGAACCUCCAGUAUUUUGAUGAGCUUCCAACUGAGAAGCAAGAGCAUUUUGUCACCAUUCCUAGUCGUGAAAUAUGUAAGGUAAAAUCUAGUGGAACAAUAACUUUAUCUAGAGACAUAAAAUUAAGAGAUCUAGAAAGCUUAAUUUAAUUAACUUCAAAUAGUGAUCUAGAAAGCAAGAGCAUCUUGGCAUCUACAUUCCCUAAUUCAAAGUUAAUUUAAUUUUAGUAAAUAAAUUAACUUCAAAUAGUGAUAUAGAAAUAUUGUUUGAUAGUAAAAAAUAUUAUUUUCAGGGAAGCAAAUCAGGGAAAGUAAUUGAAAAGGGUAGAUGCCAAAAUGGGCUCUACUUAUAUAACUCAAAUUUCAUCUCUGAAUUUGCAAAUACAUCCCUGGAUUCUAAAGUUUGGCACAACAGGCUUGGACACAUUUCUUCUCAAAAGCUUGUUGUGCUAAUAAAAAACAAAGAAAUAAACUGUUUUUCUAAUAAAAAAUGUUGUAAAAACUACUCUUCGUAAUAAAAAUAUAUCAAAUAAUUUUUUUUCAGAUAAAGAUUGUGAAAUGUGUCCUCGUUCCAAACAAACCAAACUUAAAUAUACAAAAAGUAUAUCAAAGAGCAAUUGUUUGUUUGAUUUAAUACAUAUAGAUGUUUGGGGCAAAUUCCCAACAACUAGUCAUGAUGGAUAUGAGUAUUUUUUCACUAUAGUUGAGGAUUUAAGUAGAACAACAUGGGUUUAUUUAAUUAAAAAUAAAUUCAUGACUUAUGAGUGCAUAAGAAGGUUCAUAACAAAAGUUAAGAAUUUUUUUACAAAAAUAUAAAAACCAUAAGGAGUGACAAUGAGGAAGAAUUUAAUUCUAUGAAAUUCAAAUAUUUAUUAGAAAAUCAUGGAAUUACACAUCAACUUACUUGUCCAUAUAUAUAAUCCUCAACAAAAUACAAGAGUUGAGAAAAAAUAUAGAUGUUUGCUUAAUAUAGCUAUGUCACUACAUAUACAAGCCAAUAUACCUCUAAAAUACUGGGGAGAGUGUAUAUUAACUGUAACUUUUUUAAUUAAUAGAAUUCCAUCCAAGGUUCUAAACAACAAGACUCCUUAUGAAGUCUUAUAUAAACAAAAACCCAAAUAUAAAACAUCUUAAAAACUUUUGGGUGUUUAUGUUAUACAACCAUACAUAACAGAGAACAUAAGUUCUCACCAAGAACCUUUAGAGGGAUAUUCAUAGGAUAUCCUCCAAACAUAAAAGGGUAUUUAAUACUUGGCAUAGAAGAUUAAAAAUUUCACAUAAGUAACACUACAAGAAAACAGGGAAACAGCCACGGCCAAGUUCACUGGCUAAAUGGCAAAAUCCGUGGCUAAAUUGAUUUAGCCACGGGAAUUAGCCACGGGAGGUUCCGUGGCCAUUUAUUUUAGCCACGGCUAUGUUCCGUGGCUAAUGUUAAAAAAUUAGCCACGGCAUAAUUCAGUGGCUAAUUUUAUUUAGCCGUGGCUAAAUUUUUUGAGUGACGAAGGGCCACGGCCAAAAUCCGUGGGUAAUCCUUAACUGGUCGUGGCUAAAUCCUUGAAACAGAGUGGAAAGUGAAGGGUCACGGCCAAAAUCCGUGGUUAAUCCUUAACUGGCCGUGGCUAAAUCCUUGAAACAGAGUGGAAAGUGAAGGGCCACAGCGGAUCAAGUAGCAACUGCUGAGCCUUUGCCAAUGCUGCCAUUGUCAAUAUGAUUAAUGAGCUACAUCAUAUUUAUUUAUAAAUAAUUAUUUCUAAACAAAGAAGUUAACAUAACACAAUUACAUCAUAUAAUCAUUUUUUUAUUGUGGUGUAAUACAAACAUAACUACAUAAGUGAUAAUGGAAUCUAGUAUAGGUCUAUUACUGUAUUACAAGUUGGUUUAACUGAAUACAGAUUAGGAUCAAUUAAUAGUAAUUAGUAUCGAUUUGAAAUGGGGAACAACACAAAGAACAGAAAUUGAAACUUCAAAUGGGUCUGUCGGAAAUGGGGAAUGGGUUUGACGGAAAUGGGGAAUCGGCCGGUCGGAAAUGAAGAAUGGGUCGGUUGAAAAACAGCUCAUCAAAUAGACAAGAACGGUGACGGCAAUUAUCUUCAAAUGCAUAUAUAGAUUGUAUAAUAUUUCCAACCAACAAAUUAUAAAAGAGAAAGAAAUAAAAAAUUCUUUAAACACAUGAAUUAUUGCAGAUAUCUGUUGAAAUUAUUUUUUGAUGAAGAUAAAACUUAAUUAAAAAUGAAGUAGGCAAGAUACUUCAAAUGCAUAUAGAUUAUAUUAUAAAGACAUGUUGAAACUUGAAACUAAAAUUUAUUUACAAAUUAUCUCGAUAUGAAACUCUUGAAAUACCUAUCAUUAAAUGGGGAAAAAUAGGCGCAAAGAAAAUAUCCUUAUCUCACCUUUUGCAGAUUUGAUUAAGAAGAUAUUCUCUUUCUUGCGGAUCAAGUAGCAACUGCUGGGCCUUUGCCAAUGCUGCCAUUGUCAAUAUGAUUAAUGAGCUACAUCAUAUUUAUUUAUAAAUAAUUAUUUCUAAACAAAGAAGUUAACAUAACACAAUUACAUCAUAUAAUCAUUUUUUUAUUGUGGUGUAAUACAAACAUAACUACAUAAGUGAUAAUGGAAUCUAGUAUAGGUCUAUUACUGUAUUACAAGUUGGUUUAACUGAAUACAGAGUAAGCAGUUCACCUAAGUAUGAUCAACUCCUAAUUCCAAUUAACCCAAAAUCUUGCCUGAUUCCUCUCGUGAUGGUAAUCGUGUAAGACAUUACACAUGCAAUGUUUUGACUAAAAAUUAGUGGCUGCUAAUUUGAGUAGGUGGGAAUCGGGUCAGAUUGCAAGAACAAGAUUCCAAGAAGUCAGAUUAGGAUCAAUUAAUAGUAAUUAGUAUCGAUUUGAAAUGGGGAACAACACAAAGAACAGAAAUUGAAACUUCAAAUGGGUCUGUCGGAAAUGGGGAAUGGGUUUGACAGAAAUGGGGAAUCGGCCGGUCGGAAAUGAAGAAUGGGUCGGUUGGAAAUGGAGAAUGACUAUGUCGGAAACUCACCUCGUUUGUCGUCGGAAGUUUCCACUGGCUCGGCUAUUCUCGUCGGAAGUUUCCACUCACCUCGUUGCUCCCUCUGCUCGUCGGAUUUUAGUAUUGAGGUUGGGAAAAAUAUUUGGGGUUUUAGUUUUUAGGUUUUAAUUUUUUUAAUUUAAAAGAUCCAUUUAAAAGAUCCAUUUAAAAUAUUCAUUUAAACUUAGUUUAUAACUUAUCAAUUAAAGUUAGUUUGUUUGAUAUCAAAAAUAACUUUAAUUAAAAAUAACUUAGUUAAUUUUUAACUUUAAAAUUUAAAAUAUCAAAAAUAUCUUUAAUUUAUAACUUUAAUUUAUUUUUUAAUUUAAAAUAAACUUAUUUUAUAACUUUUAAAAUAUCUAAUUUAUUAAAUUGAAUUUUAGAAUUUAAAAAUUAAUAUUUAUUAAAUUAGACUAACCCUAACCUACUAAAGUUAAUAUUAGAAAUUGAUAUUUUUAUAAUUUUUAUAAUUUAAAUAAACUACUAACCCUAACCCUAACCUACUUAAUUUUAUAAUUUAAAAUAACUUGAUAUUAAAUUUAAAUUGAUAUUUAUAAUUAAAAAUAUUAGAAAUUGAUAUUUUUAUAUUAGAAAUUUAAAUUGAUAUUAAAUUAGACUAACCCUAACCCUAACCUACUUUUAUAAUUUAAAAUAACUUUAUAAUACUUGAAUUUGUAACAUUAAAAAUUAAAAUACCUUCUUUAAAUUUAUUUUUUAACUUUAAAAUUUAAAAUAUCUAAAAUAACUUCAAUUUAUAAUUUUUAUAAUUUAAAUUUUUAUAAUUAUCUAAUUAUAAUCUAACUUUAAAUUUUUUAUAAUUUAUAAUAUCUAAAAAACUAUAAUCUAACUUCUUCUAACCCUAACUUCUACUUCUAACUCUUACUUUUAACCCUAAUUUCUAACCCUAACACUAUCUAAAUAUGUAUAUAUACUUAUUUUUACUAAUUUUUGUUAAUUUCUAUUCAUCCUAAUCCUAAUCCUAACCCUCACCUUAACUCUAACCUUAAUUAUUUACAUUUACAUUAACCCUAACCCUAAUUAUUUACAUUUACAUUAACCCUAACCCUAUUAUCAUUAUUAGCCAGGGCUAAAUGCCGUGGCUAAUAGAUAGAAAUAUCAGUGGCUAAUUUAUUUGUCACUAAAUUAGCCACGGCUCCUAAAUCUAUGGCCAAAUCCGUGGCAAAAUUUCAGUGGAAAAUUGGAGGGAAAUUUUGCCAGAAAUUUUAGCCACGGAUUUUAACAACCAUGGCUAAAUAUUCAAUGAAAAAUUGGAGGGAAUUUUGCCGGGAAAAUUAGCCACGGGAUUAGCCACGGCUUUUUGCAUCCGUGGCUAAAUAUAAAGAUUAGCCACGGGCUUAGCCACGGCUUCUGCUGGCCGUGGCUAAUCCCGUGGGCGUAGCCCAGUUUUCUUGUAGUGUAUGUCGAUGUCUCCUCUCAACCUUUCCCAUUUGUGGGUGUGUGUGAGGACAACACAACCUAUGCAAACUUCCAGCCUUAUUCAAUACCUCAGUUAGACGAAGAAAUUCCUUGGCAUUGUCUGUUUGUAAUGCCUUCAAGGAAUACCCACACUGUUUUUCAGCCAUCACUCUGAAUUUAAGAAAGCAUUCAUAUACUUCAGCUUUGGAUAUAACCAAUUGAAAUUAGUGUAUGCGUCUACGAAAUUGAAGUAAUAUUUAUAUCCUUCAAUGGACGAUGUUGGGGCAGGCCCCCACACAUCUGCAAACACUAAUUGGAGAGGUUCUGAAUAAAUAGUAGAUCUUGUGUAAUGCGGAUAUUUAUGUAUUUUAUUGAUAGAACAAGCAUCACAUUGAAUUUCAUUACAUUUAUCAGAAAUUUUAAUCACUCCUCUCCUAGCUAAAUCCAUGAUCGCAUGAAGAUUUAGAUGCCCCAAUCGAUUGUGCUAAGUCAUCACAGUGGCUUGUACUCCCACAUGAUUAACCUUCUUCCUCAGAUUCCUCCUCAAUGGUAUCCUAUAUAGAUCCCCUUCAGAGUCACCCUUGAGUAGCACCUUCCUUCUCUUUAAAUCCUUUACCACCACAUUCUGUGGAUCAAAUUCAAUAGAAACAAGAUUAUCACAGCAAAAUCUCCUUACUGCCAACAGAUUUUUAGAAGCAGAUGGAACAUUAAGAAUAUCAUUCAGAUAGAAAUUCUUAUUAUUAGAUAUAAAAUGAGAAUCACCAGUGUGAGAAAUAUCCAUAGGUUGACCAUUAGCUGCAUAGAUAGAUUUAUUACCUCGAUAUUUUUUGAUUGUAUGCACAUUUUCUGCAGUGCUGGUGACAUGAUGUGUGGCUCUAGAAUCUGGAUACCACACCGAAGUUGCAUCAUCCGCAUCUACAUACACCAUAUUAGCCGAUUUCUCAGUUUUCUCAGCAUCAACCUUGCCCAAACCAUUAAAAGAUAACUUCCUAUUAUGUGUUGGGGGAAUUUGGCUAUAUUGAGCCUGUUAUAACAGUUCAACGCACCGUGACCUUUUCCUGAACAUAUCUGACAUGGUGUCUUCCUCUUGGCAUCCUUCCCAUCAACAAUUGCCACAUUCAAGCUUAUCGGAUUCUCUUCAUCCCUGCGAUUCUGUCGUUCUUCCAAAUCUGUUAACAUGUACUUCAAUCUGCUAUAAGAUACUGGUUUCCUCUUGGAUGUAAUGUUCUGGACAAAAGAGUCGUAUUCCUGUCCUAGGCCUCCAAGCACCAUUAGAGCAACAUCUGAGUAAGAGAUUUUCUCUCCGGAAAGUCCCAAAGCUUCUACGAUCGAAUUGCAUUCGAUAAUGUAUUCUGAAACAGCGCGAUUCCCCUUUUUAAUAUUCUGUAAUUUCUGCAUGAGUGUGAGAACUCGUGAUCUGGAAUAGGGAGCAAAUUCCAAUUGAAUUGCCUCCCAUACCUCGGCCGAUGUGGAGCAUGUCGUGACAUAUGGAAGCACCGACGUCGUUGACAUUGACGACAACAACCACCCGACUAUCAAUCGAUCAUGCUUGAUCGAGUUCGGAUUUGACGAGAGAUCAACCUUACCUUCGACGUACUCGAGCAGAUCGUGCGCAAGAAGUACUGCGACGAGUUGAGAUUGCCAACCAAAAUAAUUCGUGCGAUCCAGUAGCACUGAUUUUAGGUUCUUGAUCACGAUAAUAUUAAAAGAAUUCAUCGUGAUCAAUCCCUUUCCAGCACCUCCAGUCCCCGAUUCUGCAGAUUGCUCUUCCAUCGCAGCGGAACAGAUCGGAAUAGCCUGCAAUAGGGGAUUCACCAGGAUCGAACUUCUCUCCUAACCAACUGAUACCAUAUAAGAACACGAGAGUGGAUGAGGGGAGAAAGAUCUCGAUCCUUUUUCCAUUAGUAGUCUUUUAUACAUAUUCAGAAUAACUAAUUCAGUUAUUCCUCUAUAAUAACUAACUAAGGAAUUACAAAAUAUGUCAUUCUAACUAUAAACUAAUUACAAUUAUUUAUGAAACUAUAUUUACACUAAUACAUAUAUAAUAAAUAGGAUUCCAUCAAAGAUUCUAGAUAAUAAAACCCCUUUUGAAAUCUUACAUAAACAAAAAUCAAAGUACAAUUUUUUAAGAACUUUUGGGUGUCUAUGUUAUGCAACAACACAUAAUAGAGAACACAAGUUCUCUCCAAAAACUUUUAAGGGAAUAUUCAUGGGAUAUCCUCCCAACAUAAAAGGAUAUUUGAUACUUUAUCUAGAAGAUGAAAUUUUUUAUAUAAAUAGGGAUGUUGUUUUUAGAGAGGAUAUUUUUCCUUUCAAUCAAACUACAUCCAAGAUUGAUCAAAACAAAACAGAAAAUACCUUCCCACUGCAAAAAAUAUUUAAUGAGGUAUUGGAAGAACAUCAUCCCAAGGAAGAUUGUUUUAAAAUCAUCAAAACACCCAAAAACAAAAAUUAUGAAAAAAAUCUAGACAGACCAGAUAUAACUGGAAAUAACCAGUCUGGUCAGUCUAGAAUCAUACCAAUAAAUAAAGACUCAGACAGACCAGGUAUAGCUGAAGAUAAUCAGCCUGACCAGCCUGAAAUCAUAUCUGAAAAUCAACACUCAGACAGGCCAGACAUAUAUAGCUGAAAAUGAUCAGCCUAACCAGUCUGAAACUAUAACAGAAAAUCUAUCAAAAGUUGCUCUGGACAGGCCAGAAACAACUGAAAAUGACCAGCCUAGAACAAUUGGCAAUAACCAAUCUGAGCUAAGACAAACCCUCACAUAUAACUCAGAAAUCCAAGGACAGAAUGAAGGGAGUUCAGUCCAAACUGAUCAUAUAGAAAAUAAUGGAAGUGAUCAUAGAAACCAAAAUAAAGGAUUAAAUUCAAACAAAAAUAAUGAAAAUAACACAAUACAAGAUAAAAACAUAAAACAAACAAGAUUGGGCAGGGUUAUAACCAAACCCAAACAUUUUAGUGAUUUUCAUAUGGAUGAUGAAUCACCAAAGAAAAUCAAAUACCCUAUGAGCAACUAUGUGUCAUACCAUAGUGUGAAUAACAAACAUAAAGAUUUUCUAAAACAAAUUACUAAAAAUAUUGAACCAAAAACCUUCAAUGAAGCAUCCACUAACCCAAAAUGGGUAGAGGCAAUGAAAAAAGAGAUAGAGGCCCUCAUCUCAAACAACACUUGGGUCAUAACUGAACUUCCAAAAGGAAGAAAAGCAGUAGGAUCCAAGUGGAUAUAUAAAAUUAAAUACGAACCAAAUGGAGAAAUUGAAAGAUACAAGGCAAGACUAGUAGCAAAGAGUUUCUCUCAAAAAGAGUGUUUUGACUUUUAUGAAACCUUUGCACCAGUUGCCAAGAUGACAACAGUAAAAAUUCUUAUUGCCUUUGCAGCUCAUAAAAGGUGGAACCUCUAUCAAAUCGAUGUUAACAAUGCCUUCCUUCAUGGAGAUCUUCAUGAGGAAGUGUACCUAAAACCACCUCAAGGUUUACUCCAAGAAGGAGAUAAAAGAGUAUGCAAGCUCAGUAAAUCACUAUAUGGCCUUAAACAUGCCUCUAGGAACUGGUUUGAAAAAUUAAAAACCACACUUCUAGAAAUGGGUUUUAAACAAACCAAAUCAGACUACUCCCUCUUCAUAAGAGAAAAGAAUGAAAAAAUAAUUUAUCUAAUUGUAUAUGUAGAUGAUAUAAUCAUCACAGGCGGCAAUGAGCUAGAAAUAAGAUUUCUAAAAAUACAAUUAGAAAAUAAAUUUAAACUAAAAGAUCUUGGAAAAUUAAGCUAUUUUCUAGGAAUUGAGGUAUCAUAUUCUAAUGAAGGUAUUCUUUUGUCUGAAAGGAGAUAUGCCUUAGAAAUACUUGAGGAGAGUGGCAUUUCAGGUGCAAAAGAAUCCUAAAUACCUAUGGAAAGGAAUAUAGAUCUCAAAAGUGAAUCUAAACCAAUUCAAGAUCCAACAUUCUAUAGGAAACUAGUUGGAAAACUGAUAUACCUCAAUAUUACAAGACCUGACUUAAGCUAUGCAGUCUACUGGCUUAGUCAGUUCAUGAGUGAACCAAGAGAAGUUCAUUUAAAAGCCUUAUUCAAAGUAUUAAGAUACCUGAAAUGAGCCCCAGGGCAGGGCAUCAUUUAUAAGAAAAAUCAGGAUUUAAGUAUACAUGCAUACUGUGAUUUCGAUUGGGUUGGCUGCCAAAUAACCAGAAAAUCUGUAACUGGUUUUUGCAUCCUAAUAGGGAACUCUAUAAUAUCUUGGAAAUCCAAGAAACAAGCAAUAAUUUCAAGAUCCUCUUGUGAAGAUGAAUAUAGAGCAAUAGCUCAAACAACUUGUGAGGUGAUAUGGAUUCAUCAACUAAUUAAAUAGAUGAAUUUUAAAACAAACAAAAACAACACUAUAUUGUGAUAACAAAUCAGCAAUUAACCUAGCUAAUAAUCCUGUUUUCCAUGAGAGAACAAAGCAUAUAGAGAUUGAUUGCCACUUCAUUAGAGAAUUAAUCAUCCAAGGAGUGGUUUGGCUAAAACAAAUUGGAACUAAAUUCCAAUUAGCAGAUAUGUUCACUAAACCCAUGGGUGAGCUCGAGAUUACAUCAUCCUCUGUCAAGCUUGGAGUCAUAAACAUUUACUCCAGAGCUUGAGGGGGGAGUAAAAGAGUAAUCAGGGUGAUUAAUCAUAAACAGGGUGUUUA
rnacentral:lncRNA from 1 species